CUGGAGGUAUCAGAAGUGCGAAUGCUGACAUAAGUAACGAUAAAGCGGGUGAAAAGCCCGCUCGCCGGAAGACCAAGGGUUCCUGUCCAACGUUAAUCGGGGCAGGGUGAGUCGACCCCUAAGGCGAGGCCGAAAGGCGUAGUCGAUGGGAAACGGGUUAAUAUUCCCGUACUUGGUGUUACUGCGAAGGGGGGACGGAGAAGGCUAUGUUGGCCGGGCGACGGUUGUCCCGGUUUAAGCGUGUAGGUGUGUGUUCCAGGUAAAUCCGGUUCACUUUAACACUGAGGCGUGA
rnacentral:rRNA from 7 species